GAUGAAGAACGUAGCGAAAUGCGAUAAGUAAUGUGAAUUGCAGAAUUCAGUGAAUCAUCGAAUCUUUGAACGCACAUUGCGCCCGCCAGUAUUCUGGCGGGCAUGCCUGUUCGAGCGUCAUUUCAACCCUCAAGCCCCCGGGCUUGGUGUUGGGGAUCGGCGUGCCCUCGCGGCGCGCCGUCCCCUAAAUCUAGUGGCGGUCUCGCUGUAGCUUCCUCUGCGUAGUAGCAGCACUCGCACUGGAUCGCAGCGCGGCCACGCCGUUAAACCCCCCACUUCUGAAAGUUUGACCUCGGAUCAGGUAGGAAUACCCGCUGAACUUAAGCAUAUCAUAAGCGGAGGA
rnacentral:misc_RNA from 1 species